rnacentral:rRNA from 1 species
AUUGAACGCUGGCGGCAGGCCUAACACAUGCAAGUCGAGCGGAUGAAGGGAGCUUGCUCCUGGAUUCAGCGGCGGACGGGUGAGUAAUGCCUAGGAAUCUGCCUGGUAGUGGGGGAUAACGUCCGGAAACGGGCGCUAAUACCGCAUACGUCCUGAGGGAGAAAGUGGGGGAUCUUCGGACCUCACGCUAUCAGAUGAGCCUAGGUCGGAUUAGCUAGUUGGUGGGGUAAAGGCCUACCAAGGCGACGAUCCGUAACUGGUCUGAGAGGAUGAUCAGUCACACUGGAACUGAGACACGGUCCAGACUCCUACGGGAGGCAGCAGUGGGGAAUAUUGGACAAUGGGCGAAAGCCUGAUCCAGCCAUGCCGCGUGUGUGAAGAAGGUCUUCGGAUUGUAAAGCACUUUAAGUUGGGGGGAAGGGCAGUAAGUUAAGACCUUGCUGUUUUGACGUUACCAACAGAAUAAGCACCGGCUAACUUCGU